rnacentral:rRNA from 1 species
UGACGGUACCCCAGGAGGAAGCCCCGGCUAACUUCGUGCCAGCACCCGCGGUAAUACGAGGGGGGCAAGCGUUGUUCGGAAUUAUUGGGCGUAAAGGGCGCGUAGGCGGUCUUAUAAUUCUUAUGUGAAAUCUUCCGGGCUCAACUCUGAGUGGCCACNGGAAACUGCGGNACUUGAGUGCGGGAGAGGGGAGUGGAAUUCUCCGUGUAGCGGCGAAAUAUGUAGAUGUUUGGAGAAACACCUGUGGCGAAAGCGGCUUUCUGGGCCGUAACUGACGCUGAGACGCGAAAGCUCGGGGAGCAAACACGAUUAGAUAUCCUGGUAGUCCCCGCGCUAAACGAUGAUGUCCUUGGUGUGGCGGGUCCUCACCCCUCAGUGCCGCAGCUAACGCAUAAGC